UUGGGUAAACUCGUUCUCCUCGAUUUAGAAUGUGUGUGUCACGUGGUCACGUUCCUCCAACCGCCAGCAAGCAAUCCGAAACUUUGGGCGCGAGCUUUGAACCGUUGACCGUUGGAGUGGCAGCAGCGGAAGGUGGAAGCUGGUGCGUUCGUGUGCGCUUUGUAUCAACCUGUAUUUUUCAAAAUGUGAUAGACACCAGUUCCGGAUACAUGGAUAUACGCCAAGCAAAAGCGCACUGGUCCUUCGAGGUGCAGAGCACCGAAACUGCUUUCCCGGAAGCGGUGUGUACGUACAGAAAUCCACAUUGGCAAGCCAAAGAACCUGGCAAAUAUAUAAAGACCGCCUGAAAGCCAAGCUUCAUUAUACUGGAAAGCAAGUCAUAAAGCAUGCCUCCUCCAGAAGAGGCUCGUUACGAAGAAACUCUGUGAUGUGUUUGUUAACUAUGUAAUUAUACUUUUUUGCAACGCCUGCGUAGCGAUUUCGAGAAAAGUAGUUACAUCAUAUUUGCAUAUCUAUGAAUAAGC